rnacentral:lncRNA from 10 species
GCAGAAGCGAAGUUCAGGGCUGCGAAUAGCAUUACUGAAAUGGCAAGAAAUGGAGUCUUAAAAAGUCCUCCCACGCAGAUGGGCCAGUGUUUUAUUCAACUGGACAAAAGAUUCUUAAGUAAAUACAAGCAAUCUGGUAAAACUUUUAUAAGGAGUUAAGUGAAUCUGUCAACGUAUUGAGUGAAUCAGUGUAAAUAGGCCGAAGAAACAACAAUGUGUAAGGACAAACAUAGUAGAAGUUUCUUUCUUGCUCAUGGAAGAAGUGAGAAGAGAGAAAGACUGGAAGAGGAUAGGUUCUUCUUAAGCCAUGACCCGGAAACAGGACAGCAUGCACUCCAACGUGGCUGGCUGGAACUCAAACUCAGCCACACCCAACUCCAAACAAAUCUGGGAAAGAGGUUCUAGCUGAGAAGAAAAGAAAGCAUGAAUUCUAAUUAACAGCUUGCAUUCUCUGCUACAGCUUAAGUUUCUCAGUGCUUAGAAGCACUGAUCAGGAAUUGGAUCCAUGGUGCUACCCAGAUCCCUCAGAAGGCAUAUCCCUGCCUGGUGGAUUUUCGAUUGGAAUAAAAUAAGAUGACAUGAAUGUACAGAGACGAUGGAUGGCUUGAGCUGAUGGGCAGCAUUUGGAAUUGGGUUUUGUUUUCUUCAAGAACUGUGGUGUCAUUUUUCUUCGUCUUUCCCUGUCUCUGCUGAUUCUGUCUAGGGGAUGUCUUUUAAUGUGAAAAAUUGAGUAAUAGCUUCAUAAGAAGUCCUGAGAAAACAACUCCUGGAUUCCAACUUAUCUUCAGUGCACAUAACCUUCUCCCACAGAGUGAAGGGCUUAUUUUUAUUCAAUUAAGCCUCAAUUAUGUUCCAAGAAAUCAGUCUCCAGACUAAAUGUGAGCAAGUAGCAGGUAAUAAACAAACAAGACACAUCAUGCUUUUGCCUUGGGCUUCUUUGAAUCACUUAUGUCUGCUUUAAAGAGUUUUGGUGAGGUAAGUUUUAAAUUUUCAGAAUGUUCACUUAAGCUAUAAAUCAGAGGCUUCCAGUAUCUUUUUGCUAGGACUGGAAAUGAGACAUGAGUGAGGUUAUGGCGUGCACACACAUACCAUCCAAGGGCUAAAGGAAACUAAGACCAACAAAAAUAAUUCUUAAAACCCAAUAAAAUUCACAUGUUAAAAUAAUUAUUUUGCAGACAUUAAAUGGUAGUAUGCAUAAAGUAAAAUUACAAAAUAAACACUAAAACACCAAGCUCCUUCUCACUCUCUUGCCACCACACUUCUUUUCUGACACAGUGACCAAGGCAUAAUCUCCAAGUAUCUUCAUUCAAAUGGGGCUAGCUGGUGCAACCUGGCUGGUCAUCAGAGUUAUGUAUGGAACUAUAUAAAUAUUAGUAUUCAUCCAUACAGAUUCUGAUCUUUGUCUAGAAAAAUAUAUACUUGUGAAAAUCUUCACAUAUAAGUCACCUCGUCAGCAAAAUACAGAAAAAAAUCCUGCAGCGAGUCCUCCCUUCCACUGACCCCUACUCUCUGCAUCAAAAAAGGCAAGAAGGUAGAACCCAUGCUGCAGGUUGGGGAAACCUGUUUUAUUCAAUUCACUAUCCAAAGUGAGCACUGGAAAGUCAGAGGAUUACUGUGAAUCCUCAGUGUUCUCUAACUUCUUGCUCCUCAAAAGAGCCCUGGCAUCCCCAGCAUCACUGGUAGCUUGUUAGGAAUAGAAAAUCUUGGGCCCUACCUGCUACUGAAUCAGAAUCUGCAUUUUAACAAGAUUCCCACAAUAUUUGUAUGCACAUUAAAAUCUGAAGGGCUCUGCCCUAUCUCACCAUUUUUGACAGCCUCCAAUUUUAUGUUGACAAGUGAAUCCUAGCCAUGUUCCUCUGGGCUAGAUAGUUUUGGCCUAAAAAUCUGUCGAUCAAGUCCUACCCAAUUCUUCCACCAGAGAAAGAGUGAAGGCUUGGCCCUAAAGCUGAGCUGUUGGGUCCUGCUGCCUGCCUGCAAAAAUCUUUAAUGCCAACAUGGG